rnacentral:rRNA from 1 species
GUCCAGACUCCUACGGGAGGCAGCAGUGAGGAAUAUUGGUCAAUGGCCGGAAGGCUGAACCAGCCAAGUCGCGUGAGGGAAUAAGGCCCUAUGGGUCGUAAACCUCUUUUGUCAGGGAGCAAAGGCGUCCACGAGUGGACGAAAGGAGAGUACCUGAAGAAAAAGCAUCGGCUAACUCCGUGCCAGCAGCCGCGGUAAUACGGAGGAUGCGAGCGUUAUCCGGAUUUAUUGGGUUUAAAGGGUGCGUAGGCGGACGCUUAAGUCAGCGGUAAAAUUGCGGGGCUCAACCUCGUCGAGCCGUUGAAACUGGGUGCCUUGAGUGGGCGAGAAGUACGCGGAAUGCGUGGUGUAGCGGUGAAAUGCAUAGAUAUCACGCAGAACUCCGAUUGCGAAGGCAGCCUACUAAACUGCCACUGACAUUGAUGCUCGAAAGUGUGGGUAUCAAACAGGAUUAGAUACCCCUGUAAAU